AUUAAGAGGAGUGGAGAUAAGUUAACGUUCAGUAAAAUAAUUCGAAUCAAAAAUGAACAUGUAUUGUCCCUUUUGUGGGUACAAGAUAGAGAGCCAAAGCUAUACAUUUUGCAGUGCAUGUGGCAAAAACAUCGUUUGUUUGAAAGAGGCAGCAGGAAAGAUCUCUGAAUGUCAGGCCAGCACCAGUGCAGGAACGUCGGGAGAAACCGCCCUUGAUGCAUUCCUUAAAUUUAGAGAUUUAAAAGAGAAGGACAGAAAAACAUUCUUCAAAACAAAACGACCUAACUCAGUCACAGGAAAAAACAGUAAAGAUUAAUGUUGGAGUUAUGCGGAGAGCGGAUGAUGUUUUAAAACCUGUAAGGGAAGACCAUGCCCCUUCCUGUUGAGCCAAGUUGGUCUUCAGAACAGCUUCUUGCUGCAUCCGAAAAAAAGCUAAAAGAUUUUAACCAGGACUUGAAACAUGGCCCAUUCAUCAUGUUAUAUCCUGAUGGAAAAGAAAUAAAAAAUAUUCCAGGAACAGACAGGCCUUUCACAAUUGAGCGAUAUAAAGAGGCUUUGGGAAAAGCAUAUCAACGGAUUACGCUG